CCUACGGGAGGCAGCAGUGGGGAAUUUUGGACAAUGGGGGCAACCCUGAUCCAGCCAUGCCGCGUGAGUGAAGAAGGCCUUCGGGUUGUAAAGCUCUUUCGGACGGAAAGAAAUUGCCAUCUCUAACAUAGGUGGUGGAUGACGGUACCGUAAGAAGAAGCACCGGCUAACUACGUGCCAGCAGCCGCGGUAAUACGUAGGGUGCGAGCGUUAAUCGGAAUUACUGGGCGUAAAGCGUGCGCAGGCGGUUUUGUAAGACAGGCGUAAAAUCCCCGGGCUUAACCUGGGAACUGCGCGUGUGACUGCAAGGCUAGAGUGCGGCAGAGGGGGGUAAAAUUCCACGUGUAGCAGUAAAAUGCGUAGAGAUCGGGAGGAACACCAGUGGCGAAGGCGGCGUCCUGGCCGACACCUGACGCUGAAGCGCGAAAGCGUGGGGAGCGAACGGGAUUAGAUCCCCCUGUAGU
rnacentral:rRNA from 1 species